GUCUUGGUAGCUCAGAUGGCAGAACACUGGAGUACCGAUCCAGAGGCCAUGAGUUCAAGUCUCACCCAAGACA